CAUGGGUGUGGAUCCAUCAUGAAUAAAUUAAUGCCUUUGCUGUUGGUGGGGGCAGGGAGCAUGGUACAGGGGUGACUGAGUUCCUGCUUUGUUAGUUCCCACUGAAACUGAUUGACAAAAAGGGCCUGGCACCUCUCUCUUCUCUCUCUUUCUCUCUCUCACCAUGUGAUCUAUGCAUGCCUGUUCCCGUCUGCUUGCACUAAGAAUGGAAACAGCCUAAGUUCCUCACCAGAAGCAGAGGCUGGCACCAUGUUUGUUAUGCAGCCUGCAGAACCGCUGGGGACAGCUCUCUGAAAAUAGGAAUAAAUAGUGGCUCCUCGAUAAACACCUUCUUGCCUACAGCAUGUGUGACUGCAAACACAUUCCCACUUCAACUAAUCCAAGACGAGAAGGAUGACAAAAUAAGAGAAAUCAUGGGAAAAACUGCCCAUUUCUGUUUUGUCCACUUUGCUUUGGGAAGUGAGAGCUAUAGUCAUUAUCACCACAUCCCCUGGCAUCCAAUUCCACAUUCUACCUCAGAAGUUAUUUGGAGGAAUCCAAGGACUUAGAUAUUUUACCAAUGUCUCUGGUGAUUUUUAUAUCGGUGGCCCAUGGGUGUUGACCUAUGAAACUGCUCUGCAGCAGAUAUUGAGAAAUAGGAGUUCAGGAUUAAUAAUUCAAUUCCAGCUUUCCUGGAAGCCAGAAGUCAAAAUAUACUUGGGAUUUCUAUAAAUAUUUUUUAAUUAUGACCAUCGAACUCCAAGUACUUCAGAUUUGGAACUCGGACUGCUUUCCUUGCUCCUCAGCCUGCAGAUGGCCUAUUGUGGGACCUUGUGAUUAUGUAGUGAGACGAGCAUGAGUGGAGCAGGAGACGGCUGUCCCCCACCCACAAGGAAUAUCAGAUGAUGGUUCAGCGAUCAUCACAUUGCCUCUCUGAAAGUGAUAAAUUGGCAGCUGGCACCAGGGAGAGGCUAUUUCCUGAUGGCCCACACCUGUUGCACUAAGAUGUUAAUCGAAUGCAGAUUCCAGGGAGAAACAACUUCCUGGGCAUGUGCGUAAGAGACAAAAUGGCAGGUAUGACCUUCUGGGGACACUCCACCAGAAAAGGGAAGAAAACCUCAGAUGGGCAUGCAUAUAACUUCCUAAACACACUGCUCACACUCUCCUCCCAAGGGUAAGGAGGGCACUGCACAUGCAGGCAGCCCAUCCUAAGGGAAGCAUCCUGGGAAAGGGGUCAGUCUAUAUGGUUCUGGGAUCAAGAUUAAACACCACAUUAGACCUUCAAGUUGCCCACUUGGGUCUCUUCUAUGUGUAUUUUUCUUUCCUUUCUUUUCUGCUCUAAAGCUUUUUUAAAUAAACAUACACAUCCCUCCUCUGAAACUUGCCUUGGUCUCUUUUUCUGCCAUAUGCAACUCAGUCAAAUUAUUUCUUCUGAGGAGGAAAAAAUUGAGGUAGCUGCAUUCCCAUACAGAUUCACCAUCGGUAACUCAGAUACCUUCUACUGGCCAUAUGUUUGGUGUUCUAUUCAAGAAAUAAUUGCUAAAGCCAAUGUCUUAAAGUGUUUUUCUUAUGUUUUUCUUCUAAGAGUUUUACAGUUUCAGGUCUUACACUUAAGUAUUUAAUUAAUUUGAGUUGAUUUUAUGCAUGGUGUAGGAUGUGUGUAAUAUUCAGUUUUUCUAACACUAUUUGUUGAAGAGACUAUUCUUUUUCCACUGUGUAUCCUUAGAAGCAUUGCUGAAGUGUUGUUG
rnacentral:lncRNA from 10 species